rnacentral:rRNA from 1 species
UACGGAAGGUCCGGGCGUUAUCCGGAUUUAUUGGGUUUAAAGGGAGCGUAGGCCGCUUUGUAAGCGUGUUGUGAAAUUUGCCGGCUCAACCGGUAACUUGCAGCGCGAACUGCAGAGCUUGAGUGUGCGCAACGUUGGCGGAAUUCGUCGUGUAGCGGUGAAAUGCUUAGAUAUGACGAAGAACUCCGAUUGCGAAGGCAGCUGACGGGAGCACUACUGACGCUGAAGCUCGAAAGUGCGGGUAUCGAACAGGAUUAGAUACCCUGGUAGUCCGCACGGUAAACGAUGGAUGCCCGCUGUUUGUACAUAGUUGCAAGCGGCCAAGCGAAAGCGUUAAGCAUCCCACCUGGGGAGUACGCCGGCAACGGUGAA